CCAACAUGUAUCAGCGCCCCGACAUGAUCACCCCGGGCGUUGACGCCCAGGGUCAGCCCAUCGACCCCCAAAAGAUCCAGGAACACUUUGAGGACUUCUACGAAGACAUCUUCGAAGAACUGGGCAAGUUUGGUGAGAUCGAGAGCCUCAACGUCUGCGAUAACCUCGCUGACCAUAUGAUCGGCAACGUCUAUGUCCAGUUCAGGGAGGAGGAGCAG
rnacentral:misc_RNA from 1 species